rnacentral:lncRNA from 1 species
GUUAAAAAUUUUUGGAAUAUUUAUUAGCUGCUGGUACAUGACAAUGGACUCUGUUGUCCAGGGAUCCUUCCUGCAGCCAGCCAUCUUGUUAAUUUCUAUUUUUAUUUUAUUUAUUUAUGUAUUUAAUAAUUGUUUUUGUUUUUUUGAGACAGGGGUUCUCUGGGUAUCCUUGGCCAUCCUAGAACUCGCUCUGUAGAUCAGGCUGGCUGGGAUUAAAGGAGAACACCACCACCACGCAGCUUCUGUUGUGGUAUAUUUGUAUAUUGUGUGAGGAUGCAUUGUUGUGAUUGGUUUAAUAAAGAGCUGAAUGGCCAUUAGCUAGCCAGGGGAGGAUAGGUGGGACUUCCAGGCAGAGAGAAGAACUGAGGGCAGAAUCUGCUGUGGCAGGAGACCCCAGUGAGACACAAGCAAGUUGGACACACAGAAUGGAGGAGAGGUAAAAGGCCACAGGGCAGAGUGUAGGUUAAUAGAAACAGGUUAAUUGAAGUUAUAAGAGCUAGUUAGGAACAAGCCUAAGCUAAAGGCCAAGCUUUCAUAAUUAAUAAAAGUAUCCAUGUCAUUAUUUGGGGACUGGUGGUCCAAAGAAAGUCUGACAAAAAGAGACUUGCCACAGGCUUCUGUUUUUAUUUUUAAUACUUUCCCUGCCUCUUUUUUUUCCUCUGCAGGCAAUCAUAUAAUAACAAAUAAUAACCUUUUAAUUCUUUCUUUUCAGUGCCUUUAAAAUGUACUGUUUUGCUGCCUUGGUGUUCCCACUGUGAUCUCUAAUGCAAUGUGAAUAAAAGAGUAACUAUUGAAAUGUCCUUAUCAUGUGUCUGGUGUGUGCGUCUGUGUGUGUGCGUACUCAUGUACUCAUGUGCAUGUGCGUGUGUGUGUGUGUAAGUGGAUGUCAGUUGUCUUCCUCCAUCAUUCUUUAACUUAUUCUCUUGAGACAGGGUCUCUCACUGAACAAUAAGCUCAUUGUUCAGCGAGGCUGGAUGGCCAGUGAACUACUUUCAUCCACCAGUUUGUCUCCCAACACUGGGGUUAGAGGCACACACAGCCAUGCACAGCUCUUUAUGUGGUUCCUUGGAAUUCAAGCUCAAAUCCUCAUGUGCCUGGCUGUCUUGAAUCUCUAUGUUUGAUUACAGAUUCAGUGUUCUUGGCAACACACUACAGCUCACCUGUUUUUUCAAGAAUACCUUCAUGGAAAUAAAAUUCCCACCUCCCACAAUUCACUCAAUUAUAUCAUGUUACUCAGUGGGUUUUGUUCUAUUUAGACUUGUGCAGCCAAAAUCAACAUUUUCAACAACUCAAGUAGAAAUCCCAUAUCUACCAGCAGCCAAAUCACACCAUUUCCUUCUAAUUGACCCUGCCCCCAGCAAGCAUCACUGACUCUCUGUCUUUUUGAAUUUGGAUAUCCUGAACAUUUUACCCAAGUGGAAUUCUACAAUAUGUGCUAUAUUGUGGUCUUUGAGGGUGGGUCUUUAUUUCACUUAGAAUAAAUUGUAAGGUUCAUUUAUGUUGUAU